rfam:Acidobacteria bacterium RIFCSPLOWO2_02_FTLL_61_28 rifcsplowo2_02_scaffold_5691, whole genome shotgun sequence.
CCCAGGGCUUACGCCCAGGGCUAGAAUCUUCCGCCCCUCCGGGGCU